rnacentral:rRNA from 1 species
UGCGUAGGUGGUUUCUUAAGUCAGAGGUGAAAGGCUACGGCUCAACCGUAGUAAGCCUUUGAAACUGAGAAACUUGAGUGCAGGAGAGGAGAGUGGAAUUCCUAGUGUAGCGGUGAAAUGCGUAGAUAUUAGGAGGAACACCAGUUGCGAAGGCGGUUCUCUGGACUGUAACUGACACUGAGGCACGAAAGCGUGGGGAGCAAACAG